GGCAGGUGAUACAGUGAGAUACAGUGGCAGUCACGCACACACUGAGGGAGCGACAGGGAGAUACACACAAACCUCCUUUUCUGAAACAUCCUCAACUUCGAUUUUAUUCUUUCAAGCUUUGACAGAUAGAUAAAUACAUAGCAAGAGAGAUAGACAGACAGACAGAGAUAGAUAGAGAGACAGACAGGUAGAUAGACAGACAGCGAGAUAGCUAGACAGACAGGUAGACAGACAGACAGACAGGUAGGUAGAUAGAUAUGCAGCGUGCAAGGCUCCAUGGAGGGAGAGAGACUGACUACAGUAGUGAUUCAAACCCAAGAUCACAGAAGAGGAGGAUCAAACAACAAACUACAUACUGGAGCAAAUAUGAGAUACUAGCAGUGCUCCUCUCUCUCCUCUCUCUCCUCUACAUCUCUCUGUACUCUCACAGUUUUCACCUGCACGUCACCAGACUGUAUGCUGGUCUGGGUCACCCCACUGCCCAGCACUUACUGGGACAGAGAUACCUGACUGGGGAGGGGGUGGAGCAGGAUGGACAGACAGCCAUGGAGUGGUUUAG